ACCCAAGCCGCGACCAGGUUCACUGAACCUCCGAACCCCACUCCCUCUCUACUCUUUAUUUAAGCCCUCCACAGAACAGAAUUCGCCUGCUCAGAUCGCAAAAUCAGUAACCAUUUCCGAUCGCAGCUGCCGCUGGCCUCUGCACAAUGUGAAUGGGGUAGAGUAGUCGGCAUGAACAAUUCUUCCUUUGAUAAAAAUGGUAUCAAGAAUGAUGCCAAUUAUUAAUUAUCUGUUUAGGACAACCAGCAUUUCUUUAGAUUCUGACUGCUGAGAUAGAAGAGCUCGGAAAAUUUGUAGAUAUUUGCACCAUUUCUCGUAGCCAUUCACCUGCUUUCAGAUUUAUGCUCCUCUAGGAUAAAAGCUAUUUGCAAACCUGGCCUUGUCGGGGCGAUGACGUGGAGAGAGCGACUUCGGUGGCAGCCACCAUUCACGGUCGCCUGGUCCGAUCUGGUCGGCUGUUGUUUCUCCUUUUGCAGGAAUGUGAUUGAACAGCAUAGCAGAUAGAACAUUUUGCUGUGCUUGGGAUUUGAAGAGUUCCCCCUCUUGAAACUUCAAUGUCAUCGUUUUUUUGUUUUGUUUUUAUAAGUGAUUAUGUACUCCUGUUUUCGUUGCAUUGUAUGAAUUUCAGUAAAACUUCUGUUCUUGCUGAUUAUUUGUGAGAGUUGCUUUCGGCCUUAGGUAUAAGGUAAUUAGAUGAAAUAAAAGUGAUUUGGAUUAGGAAAGGAAA